UUUUGAAAAUGGAUUUUUUUGUUUUGGCAAGAGCAUGAGAGCUUUUACUGGGCAAGAAGACAAGAGAUGGAGAGUCCAGCCGGGCCUGCGCUUAAGUGCGCGGUCUUGCUAGGCUUGUAAGUUUCUUUCUUGCUAUUCCAAACGGUGAGAGAUUUCUGUGCUUUUGUUAUAGGACAAUUAAAACCGUUUCAAUACAACACACUGUGGAGUUUUCAUAUCUUUGCAACUUUUUCUUUGGGCAUUCGAGCAAUCGGGGCCCAGAGGUAACAAACACAAACAAUUUUAUCUAUUCAUUAAAUUUUUGUCAAAAACAAGAAUUUUCGUAACUGGAAAUUUUAAAAUAUUAAAAACUUUCAACAACGGAUCUCUUGGUUCUCGCAUCGAUGAAGAACGCAGCGAAAUGCGAUACGUAAUGUGAAUUGCAGAAUUCCGUGAAUCAUCGAAUCUUUGAACGCACAUUGCGCCCCUUGGUAUUCCAGGGGGCAUGCCUGUUUGAGCGUCAUUUCCUUCUCAAACAUUCUGUUUGGUAGUGAGUGAUACUCUUUGGAGUUAACUUGAAAUUGCUGGCCUUUUCAUUGGAUGUUUUUUUUCCAAAGAGAGGUUUCUCUGCGUGCUUGAGGUAUAAUGCAAGUACGGUCGUUUUAGGUUUUACCAACUGCGGCUAAUCUUUUUUUAUACUGAGCGUAUUGGAACGUUAUCGAUAAGAAGAGAGCGUCUAGGCGAACAAUGUUCUUAAAGUUUGAGCUCAAAUCAGGUAAGAGUACCCCGCUGAACUUAAGC
rnacentral:rRNA from 1 species